CUAUAUGGUUUGAAAAUGCCACGUCACUACCGUCCUCCUCCUCUCACAGAUCAGUCCGCGUGUUCAUGGUGCCGCCAUCUUUUUCUGGAAUAUGUUGAGCAAACCUGGAGAAGUUUCAGCUCAAGAGAUUAUUGUUGUCACUGCUGUGGAUCUUUACCUGAUACACUGACUCACUUUUCACAUGACAUCAAACUCUUACACGUCUAGAAAAGGAGCUGUUGGACAGAAAGACAUCAGCUGAGUGGGAAGUAUUUUGGUUACAGUUUACUUCCCACAAUAUAUUAGUAGCUGUCACAUUUAUAUUAAUCUGAACUUUAAUCAUAAUUUAGAUCAAACUGUUUUAGUUGCUGUUUCCUUUAUGCUUUGGUUUCAUGUCUUCUGUUAUUAGACCUGAGAUGUGACUGCUCUGUGCUGUUGCUGAUGACUCCAGUUAAUCCUACAAGACAUGCUGUGACACCAGCAGAGAUGAGUCCUCCAUCACUGAUGGUUGGUCAGUGACCUGCAGGUCAAAGGUCAUUGCAUCUCCAGCCCACAUCCACUGCCACUGUACUGAAGGGCAGUUAAAGACUUUCUGCUGCACUUACAUUUGGAUCAGCUCGAUCCAUGACAGUCAUUCAGGCAGUGAUGCCUGGACUGGAAACAAGCAUCCUUAAAA